UGAGAUGUCAGGAGGAGAUCCCCUGA
rnacentral:piRNA from 1 species